rnacentral:rRNA from 1 species
UACGUAGGGUGCAAGCGUUGUCCGGAAUUAUUGGGCGUAAAGAGCUCGUAGGCGGUUUGUCGCGUCUGCUGUGAAAACCCGAGGCUCAACCUCGGGCCUGCAGUGGGUACGGGCAGACUAGAGUGCGGUAGGGGAGAUUGGAAUUCCUGGUGUAGCGGUGGAAUGCGCAGAUAUCAGGAGGGACACCGAUGGCGAAGGCAGAUCUCUGGGCCGUAACUGACGCUGAGGAGCGAAAGCAUGGGGAGCGAACGGG